AUUGAACGCUGGCGGCAGGCUUAACACAUGCCAGUCGAGCGAGCGGCGGACGGGUUAGUACUGUCUGGGAAACUGCCUGAUGGAGGGGGAUAACUACUGGAACCUGUAGCUAAUACCGCAUACCCUCGGAUGUGCCCGGAUGGGAUUAGCUAGUAGGUGGGGUAAUGGCUCACCUGGGCGACGCUCCCUAGCUGGUCUGAGAGGAUGACCAGCCACACUGGAACUGAGACACGGUCCAUACUCGUACGGGAGGCAGCAGUGGGGAAUAUGGCACAAUGGGCGCAAGGCUGAUGCAGCCAUGCCGCGUGUAUGAAGAAGGCCUUCGGGUUGUAAAGUACUUUCAGCGGGGAGGCGUUACUCGCAGAAGAAGCACCGGCUAACUCCGUGCCAGCCGCCGCGGUAAUAC
rnacentral:rRNA from 1 species